rnacentral:other from 1 species
UCGUACUUAUUUAAUGAUUGAUCAUGCCUUAGCAAUGAAGUGUUUAAUCUUUUAGUUAAGUAUUAUGUUGUGUUUGCAUAUUGUUUGGGAAACCAAACAGCGUUAUUUAUUUUCCUUAAUAGAUAACGAUUUAACUUCCUGUAUAUUUUGACCUGAUUUAGGUUUAGACACCGCGCUUUAUGUGCGGUGUUUUUUUAU